GCCAGAGUAUUGAUGCUUGGGAGUCAGACAGUGUCAGAUAAAUGUCAUUGUCAAAAGGGAAACAGCCCAGAUCUACAGCUAAGGUCCCAAAGUCAGGUUAAGUGGAAAACGAUGUGAAGAUACGCAGACAACCAGGAUGUUGGCUCAGAAGCAGCCACUCAUUCAAAGAGUGCGUAAUAGCUCACUGGUCGAGCGUCUUUGCGCGGAGAAUUUAACGGGGCUAAACCUGACACCGAAGCUUAGGCAAUACAGAAAUGUAUUGGGUAGGGGAGCGUUGUAUACGCGGAGAAACAGUAGCGCAAGCGGCUGUGGAGUGUAUAGAAGUGAGAAUGCCGGAAUGAGUAGCGCGAAUGCAGUGAGAAUCUGCAUGGCCGAAAGCCUCAGGUUUCUGGAGGAAGGUUCGUCCGCUCCAGGUUAGUCGGGAGCUAAGGUGAGGCCGGAAGGCGUAGCCGAUGCACAGACGGUAGAGAUUCCGUCACCACCAAAAGAGUUAAGCACAGGGACACAUAUGAAGUCUCAGAGCCGGGUGUUGGUUCCGGUAGAGAUCGAGGGAAAUUAGUACCGAAGUCUGAGAUGGAAGAUGGCGAGAAAAGCUGUGUGUAUUUCUGAGGUGCCCGUACCGCAAACCGACACAGGUAGGUAGGAAGAAGAUUCUAAGGCCAACGGGAGAAGGGUUGUUAAGGAACUCGGCAAAUUGACCCCGUAACUUCGGGAGAAGGGGUGCUCCAGAGAUGGAGCCGCAGAGAAUCGGCCCAAGCAACUGUUUACCAAAAACACAGGUUUGUGCUAAAUCGAAAGAUGACGUAUACGAGCUGACGCCUGCCCGGUGCUGGAAGGUUAAGAGGAGAUGUGCAAGCAUUGAAUCGAAGCCCCAGUGAACGGCGGCCGUAACUAUAACGGUCCUAAGGUAGCGAAAUUCCUUGUCAGGUAAGUUCUGACCCGCAUGAAAGGCGUAAUGAUUUGGGCACUGUCUCAACAGCCCGCCCGGCGAAAUUGUAGUACCGGUGAAGAUGCCGGUUACCCGCGACAAGACGGAAAGACCCCAUGGAGCUUUACUGUAGCCUAAUAUUGGGUUUCGAUGUUGCAUGCACAGGAUAGAUGGGACUCUGGGAAACCAAGGCUUUGGCUUUGGCGGAGAGGCCGUUGGGAUACCAUCCUUGCGAUAUUGGAAUUCUAACCUGCGGCUCUGAAUCGAGUCGGGGGACAUUGUUAGGUGGGCAGUUUGACUGGGGCGGUCGCCUCCUAAAGAGUAACGGAGGCGUUCAAAGGUUCGCUCAGCUUGAACGGAAAUCAAGCAAAAGAGUGCAAACGCAGAAGCGAGCCUAACUGCGAGACUGACGGGUCGAGCAGUAACGAAAGUUGGAGUUAGUGAUCCGGUGGUAUGUGAGUGGAAAUGCCAUCGCUCAACGGAUAAAAGUUACCCUGGGGAUAACAGGCUGAUCUCCCCCAAGAGUCCACAUCGACGGGGAGGUUUGGCACCUCGAUGUCGGCUCAUC
rnacentral:rRNA from 1 species